rnacentral:lncRNA from 1 species
AACAGAAUAGAGGGCUUGGACACAGCCCCGGAUGUGAGUUGAGCUCUGAAUGUCAAGACCAGUCCUGGUCCCAUUUUCCACUGCUUUGGUCAGGGAGUGAGUCCCCUGAUGUCAUCCGAGGAUAUGAGGCAUCGCUAAAUCUGGCCAUCCCCUGAAGCACCCAGCCUCACCGACUUCCUGAAGCGUGGAUGAACGCUGCUGCCACAAAUGUGCUGUGACAACCGCUGACAAGGAGAGUGAGUGAUGUUUGUGCCAUCCUGCUGAGCACGAGGGAGCUGCUUGGGGAAGCCAGGGGCUGGGGCAUCUCAAUAGCACUGAGGGCAGCCUCGGGGGGGCUUCACAGCACACCCACCCCCAGAUCACUGCUGAUUCUGGGGGAUGCAUGACAGAGCUUUCUGACCUUGCACUUCCCUUUGGCUGCUAAACUGAAUGAAG